rnacentral:rRNA from 1 species
ACCCGCACAAGCGGUGGAGCAUGUGGUUUAAUUCGACGAUACGCGAAGAACCUUACCUGGCCUUGACAUACUAAAAAGCUUUAAGAGAUUAGAGUGUGCUAGCUUGCUAGAAUUUAGAUACAGGUGCUGCACGGCUGUCGUCAGCUCGUGUCGUGAGAUGUUGGGUUAAGUCCCGCAACGAGCGCAACCCUCGUGUUUAGUUGCUAACAGUUCGGCUGAGAACUCUAAACAGACUGCCUACGCAAGUAGGAGGAAGGUGAGGACGACGUCAAGUCAUCAUGGCCCUUACGGCCAGGGCUACACACGUGCUACAAUGGGGUAUACAAAGAGCAGCGAUACGGUGACGUGGAGCAAAUCUAGAAAAUGCCUCUCAGUUCGGAUUGUAGUCUGCAACUCGACUCCAUGAAGUUGGAAUCGCUAGUAAUCGCGCAUCAGCAUGGCGCGGUGAAUACGUUCCCGGGCCUU